rnacentral:lncRNA from 1 species
AUGAAGUUUAAUCUAGUUGAGUCAUUCCAGAUGAAGUAUAAUCCAGCUGCAUCAUUCCAAAUGAAGUUUAAUCUAUCUGAGUCAUUCCAAAUGAAGUAUAAUCCAGAUGAAGUUUAAUCUAGUUGAGUCAUUCCAGAUGAAGUAUAAUCCAGCUGCAUACUUCCAGAUGAAGUAUAAUCCAUCUACUAAGUGUGUUUAUGAACAUUAAAGGACCUAAAAAGGAUUUCUGUUUAGAAUGAAUAUCUUGAAUAACCAGUUUCUGGUCUUAAUCCUGCCUUUGAGGAACUUUUUGAACACGUGUCAAGACUGAGUUAGUUUUUAUAAAGUAAAAAUAAAAAUCAUCCUUGAAAUAUUAAAUAACGAGGCCGGCUUAAAGUAUCACAUCCCUAGUUUGUUUCAUCAGUGAGGAAAAAGACAUUUUCAAACUACAAGUUUGUUUUCUGUUUUUCCAGAGGUUACAUGUGGGACAGUUUAAUCACUGCACGGGGACUUCCUGUGACUCCCUGAAAUUGUGUCUUCAUGGUGAGGUUGCCAGGCAACCAGCAGAUUCCCAGAGGGCAGUUGAUCUAAUCACCUGACUCAAAGAUUUGAACUAUAAAUUCUCACUUUUGGUUUAUCUUCUUAAGUGCAAUCCUCACGUUAGUACUUUUUUAUUACCAAACCCAAAGACAACCUAAGCCUUGUUUGUACUGCAGCCACAAUGCAUGAUGGGAAGUGCUGUUUUAACACUCUUAAGUUGAACAGAUUUGUAAUAUAGCGCACACACGUGAUCAUCUUUUCCAUGCUCACAGGAUUUGUCUUUUUACUUUAUUUAACUACUUAACUAUUUAACUAACAGCUUUUGAUGAAGAAUGU